AUCUGUCGGAAGAGGAGCAAAAGGGGACUAACAGAAGAGCAGUGUCAAGGAACUUAAAAAAUGGAAUGCAAGCCAUUAUUUUAAAGGAUGCGCCGGAGCCCCCACAAAAAGGGUUGAGAUUUAGGACUCGAGGCAAACUCUAGGAAAAGUGCCACAGGACUCAACCGAGAUGAGGAGACUUGAUGUUCACUCUCAGAAUUAGGAAAAGGUAGGUAUACCUGCCCCUAUCUAAAUAAUCUAAUUUCAAAGUUGGAAAUUUCAGGGUGGGGAUGGCACUUUGAUUCUGCCAUUUAGUUCCCCAAAGCUGGUAAAAA